GACGAACGCUGGCGGCGUGCUUAACACAUGCAAGUCGAACGGAAAGGCCCUGCUUGCAGGGUGCUCGAGUGGCGAACGGGUGAGUAACACGUGGGUGAUCUGCCCCUUACUUUGGGAUAAGCCUGGGAAACUGGGUCUAAUACUGGAUAGGACCAUGCUGUAGGUGGUGUGGUGGAAAGAUUAGUUUCGGUAAGGGAUGAGCUCGCGGCCUAUCAGCUUGUUGGUGGGGUAAUGGCCUACCAAGGCGUCGACGGGUAGCUGGCCUGAGAGGGUGGACGGCCACAUUGGGACUGAGAUACGGCCCAGACUCCUACGGGAGGCAGCAGUGGGGAAUAUUGCACAAUGGGCGCAAGCCGGAUGCAGCGACGCCGCGUGGGGGAUGACGGCCUUCGGGUUGUAAACUCCUUUCAGCCAUGACGAAGCCCUUGUGGUGACGGUAGUGGUAGAAGAAGCACCGGCUAACUACGUG
rnacentral:rRNA from 1 species